rnacentral:rRNA from 1 species
GAUGAACGCUGACAGAAUGCUUAACACAUGCAAGUCCACUUGAACUUCGGUUUGGGUGGCGGACGGGUGAGUAACGCGUAAAGAACUUGCCUCACAGCUAGGGACAACAUUUGGAAACGAAUGCUAAUACCUGAUAUUAUGAUUAUAUGGCAUCGUAUAAUUAUGAAAGCUAUAUGCGCUGUGAGAGAGCUUUGCGUCCCAUUAGCUAGUUGGAGAGGUAACAGCUCACCAAGGCGAUGAUGGGUAGCCGGCCUGAGAGGGUGAUCGGCCACAAGGGGACUGAGACACGGCCCUUACUCCUACGGGAGGCAGCAGUGGGGAAUAUUGGACAAUGGACCGAGAGUCUGAUCCAGCAAUUCUGUGUGCACGAUGAAGUUUUUCGGAAUGUAAAGUGCUUUCAGUUGGGAAGAAGAAAAUGACGGUACCAACAGAAGAAGUGACGGCUAAAUACGUG